GGCUGCAACUCGCCUACAUGAAGUCGGAGUUGCUAGUAAUCGCGGAUCAGAAUGCCGCGGUGAAUGCGUUCCCGGGUCUUGUAUACACCGCCCGUCACACCAUGGAAGUUGGGGGCGCCCGAAGUUGGUCGAGGAAUAGAUUACCUAAGGCGAAACCAAUGACUGGGGUGAAGUCGUAACAAGGUAUC
rnacentral:rRNA from 1 species